ACGUAGGGGGCAAGCGUUGUCCGGAAUUACUGGGCGUAAAGAGCACGUAGGCGGUUUAUUAAGUUAGAUGUGAAAGUUUGCAGCUUAACUGGAAAAGUGCCUUUAAAACUGGUAGACUUGAGUCUCGAAGAGGUAAGCGGAAUUCCAUGUGUAGCGGUGAAAUGCGUAGAUAUUAGGAAGAACACCGAUGGCGAAGGCAGCUUACGGGACGAGUACUGACGCUCAUGUACGAAAGCGUGGGGAGCAAACAG
rnacentral:rRNA from 1 species